rnacentral:rRNA from 1 species
UACGGAGGGUGCAAGCGUUAUCCGGAUUCACUGGGUUUAAAGGGUGUGUAGGCGGGUAUUUAAGUCAGUGGUGAAAUCCCGAGGCUCAACCUCGGAACUGCCAUUGAUACUAUUUAUCUUGAAUCUUGUUGAGGUGGGCGGAAUACAUCAUGUAGCGGUGAAAUGCUUAGAUAUGAUGUAGAACACCGAUUGCGAAGGCAGCUCACUAAGCAAGUAUUGACGCUGAGGCACGAAAGCGUGGGGAUCAAACAGG